CAGAACGAACGCUGGCGGCGCGUUUAAGCAUGCAAGUCGCAGGGUAAAAUUUAGCAAUAGAAUUGAGACUGGCGAACGGGUGAGUAACACGUGAAAAUCUACCCUGAGAUGGGGGGAUAGCCGGUAGAAAUAUCGGGUAAUACCGCAUAUGCCGAGAGGUGAAAGGGGCAACUGCUCCGUCUUGAGAUGAGUUUGCGUCUGAUUAGAUAGUUGGCGAGGUAAAGGCUCACCAAGUCUACGAUCAGUAGCCGGCCUGAGAGGGUGAUCGGCCACAUUGGGACUGAGACACGGCCCAGACUCCUACGGGAGGCAGCAGCUAAGAAUAUUCCGCAAUGGGAGAAAUCCUGACGGAGCGACGCCGCGUGAACGAUUGAAAGGCAGAAAUGUUGUAAAGUUCUUUUAUUAGGGAAGAAUAAGGCUGGUAGUGGAAAGAUCAGUCGAUGACGGUACCUAAUGAAUAAGCCACGGCUAACUACGUGCCAGCAGCCGC
rnacentral:rRNA from 1 species